AGCUAGCCGUCGAAGGUGGGACAAAUGAUCGGGGUGAAGUCGUAACAAGGUAGCCGUAUCGGAAGGUGCGGCUGGAUCACCUCCUUUCUAAGGA
rnacentral:rRNA from 1 species